UACGAAGGGGGCUAGCGUUGUUCGGAUUUACUGGGCGUAAAGCGCACGUAGGCGGAUCGUUAAGUCGGGGGUGAAAUCCUGGAGCUCAACUCCAGAACUGCCUUCGAUACUGGCGAUCUCGAGUCCGGAAGAGGUGAGUGGAACUCCUAGUGUAGAGGUGGAAUUCGUAGAUAUUAGGAAGAACACCAGUGGCGAAGGCGACUCGCUGGUCCGGUACUGACGCUGAGGUGCGAAAGCGUGGGGAGCAAACAGG
rnacentral:rRNA from 1 species